rnacentral:tRNA from 1 species
GGGGCGUUAGCUCAUCUGGUAGAGCGCAACAAUGGCAUUGUUGAGGUGAGCGGUUCAAGUCCGCUACGCUCCA